rnacentral:lncRNA from 1 species
AUGGCUGGAGGUUGAGCUUUGAAUCGCGAAGGAGGGGGAGGGGAGGACGUGGAACAGGGGAAAGAAAUGAUUCGUGAGCUGGGAUAAAAUCUUUGGGCGCUAGAUUGGAUGCGGAAAGGAUGAUCAUGCGGCUUGUUCCAAAACAGGGGAGGAGAAGAUAAAAGAAAUUGACAUGGAAGAUGAAUACGGGAAUGAGUAGGAUAUGUGAAUUUUUUAUUAUUUAUAUUUCUUCUUCCUUUUUUAGAAAAGUGGUUGGGGUCCACUCGGGUAGGUUGGAAGGGCUUUGUUCUGAAUCUAAAAUAAAGGAAGUUUGGACACAUGGAGAAAAUGGGAGAGGCCUUUGUUUUGCUAAGUUGGGAAGCUUGGUGCACACGGAAAAUAUGACGUGGACAAACGAAUGGGUAGCUUCAUGCACAUGUGGGAGGUAGUAGUCCACACAUGGAACAGAUUGGGACUAGUUCGUGAAUGGGAUGACUCGACCUGCACACAC